AUUGAACGCUGGCGGCAUGCCUUACACAUACAAGUCGAACGGCAGCACGGGAGCAAUCCUGGUGGCGAGUGGCGAACGGGUGAGUAAUAUAUCGGAACGUGCCCAGUCGUGGGGGAGUAACGUAGCGAAAGCUACGCUAAUACCGCAUACGAUCUAUGGAUGAAAGCGGGGGAGUCGCAAGACCUCGCGCGAUUGGAGCGGCCGAUAUCAGAUUAGCUAGUUGGUGGGGUAAAAGCUCACCAAGGCGACGAUCUGUAGCUGGUCUGAGAGGACGACCAGCCACACUGGAACUGAGACACGGUCCAGACUCCUACGGGAGGCAGCAGUGGGGAAUAUUGGACAAUGGGCGCAAGCCUGAUCCAGCCAUACCGCGUGGGUGAAGAAGGCCUUCGGGUUGUAAAGCCCUUUUGUUGGGAAAGAAAUCCUAUCGGUUAAUAACCGGUGGGGAUGACGGUACCCAAAGAAUAAGCACCGGCUAACUUCGUG
rnacentral:rRNA from 1 species